rnacentral:rRNA from 1 species
GAUGAACGCUGGCGGCGUGCCUAAUACAUGCAAGUCGAGCGAACAGACGAGGAGCUUGCUCCUCUGACGUUAGCGGCGGACGGGUGAGUAACACGUGGAUAACCUACCUAUAAGACUGGGAUAACUUCGGGAAACCGGAGCUAAUACCGGAUAAUAUAUUGAACCGCAUGGUUCAAUAGUGAAAGACGGUUUUGCUGUCACUUAUAGAUGGAUCCGCGCCGCAUUAGCUAGUUGGUAAGGUAACGGCUUACCAAGGCGACGAUGCGUAGCCGACCUGAGAGGGUGAUCGGCCACACUGGAACUGAAACACGGUCCAGACUCCUACGGGAGGCAGCAGUAGGGAAUCUUCCGCAAUGGGCGAAAGCCUGACGGAGCAACGCCGCGUGAGUGAUGAAGGUCUUCGGAUCGUAAAACUCUGUUAUUAGGGAAGAACAAAUGUGUAAGUAACUAUGCACGGCUUGACGGUACCUAAUCAGAAAGCCACGGCUAACUACGUG